GGCAUAGAUCUGCCAUGUAAACGCGGAUAAUGGUCCGAAAUAUUUCCCAUUAGAUCGACAUGCCACUAUGCCGACGGUUCAAUGUUCCGAAAACGGAACCCAUUGGUCCGAAGGUCCGUUCGUCCGACUUUUCAAAAAGGAGGCGCAUUAGGCCGACGGUUCAAUAUGCCGAAUAGGCCAAGGCGCAAUUCCACAUGCGUUAUUAUGACACCAAAAAUAAAAGACGAUGUAGGCUAAGUUCCAGCAGUGCACUUCACCAAGCCAGACUUUUGCUGUAGGCUUGAACGGUCACAAGAGGUGAAUUUAUGAAGCGCACGUUAUACAAGGAAUUAUAGCCGCUUUUCCCGCAGAGAGGUCAAACGGAUUCGAACCUGCGCGGGAAGAUCCCAAUGGAUUUCUAGUCCAUCGCCUUCGUCCACCACUCGGCCAAAGCACGGGCAUAAAGGGCAGCUUGAAGGGGCGAAAAGGGGGAUAGAGGGAAGAAGAGAAAAGAAAAAGAGGAGAAAAUGAUUGACAACAGGAUUUGCACCUGGAGUCUCCCACCCCAAGGAUGGACGUGUUACUAUUACACCACAAGAGUUGUUAUUUUUGUAGUUGUUUUUAUUUUUGCAAAUAGUUGCAUAAGCAACUAUUCUGUUUGUUUUUUUUUGCAAAUAGUUGCAACGGCAACUAAUUAUUAUUAUUUUUUGCAACAGCAAAUAUACUUAUUUUUCAACAGUGAACGUUAACAUAUUUUCUGAUAAGAAAUAAAAAAAAUUACAAUA
ensembl:lncRNA